CUGAGCUGGCAUUAUUCUUAAUUUAUGGAUAUGAGUGUAGUGAAAUGUGUAUUUCUAUAUUUGACAGAAACUAAAUUUAUUUUCAAUUUCUUAAUUGAUUCUAUUUGUUGUUUUAUUGUUAUUUAAAUUUGUUAGUCACAGAUUUUGUCUAAAUUCUUUUUCACACACUAUUCUUUAAUUGUUAGUUUGAUGCUUCCACCCUGAAAGUAAGAAAGGGUUAUACUGUGACUAGCACCAUAAGCUUGGUGACUAGCACCAUAAGCUAGCACCUUUCUUAAUGAAUCACAUAGAAGGAAACCAGUUUUUGUUAUUGAAACUGGCUUAAAAGUUAAGAAUUAAUCUAAUUAUGCUUGUGCUUAAUAUUAAAUUUUAUGCUUGUGUCUUUUCUCAAAAUAGUGUGUAUUGUAAAAUUUCUUUUUAGAAUUUAUUGUGACUUAUACAGAAAAAAUUUUGUACUAAUAAUUUUUUUUACAUUCACACAUGCGGACUAAUGAAGAAGAGGAGGUACAUCCUAUAAAAUGGCUUAGAGAAAGGGAUAAUAUUGCCAAUCAACUUUUGGAUAAUUUCAUGGAGGCACUUGCAGCAAUUUCACAGAAAGUUGUGGAACCACCUCUUCCUUUCUGUCUAUCCUCUUCCUUAUGUGAUUGAGGGACAGUAGUGACUGUAAGGAGAUGCGAGUGAAAAGAAUUGAAAAAUCAUCCAAAACAACAUUUAAAAUUAACUCACAUUGUUGUUUUAUAAUAUACUAUGAACGAAAAAUUGGACUGCAGAUUAAAGCAUGAUUUUGAUCUGGAUUAGCCUUUCAGUUAGUGUGAGAAUGCCUGAAAUAUGAGUUCAGCAAAAAGGAUAGAACUAAAGUGAGUUUAAGGUCAUUCUUGGAAUUCUGUGUUGUCAAAUUCAAAAAUUGAAUUUAAAAGUGGCAGUUGUGCCAUUAGAAUGGAUCAUUGAUGAUAAAAACGCAAAAGCAGUUAGAUAUGUAUUUGUUGGUUUUUGCCUAAUGUUUAAAGAAGAGUGUCUUACAAAAAGUUGAACCAACUCACAGGACUCUAUUGAAGGACUACCAGGACUCUAAUGAAAUUGUGUGUCUAUGAAGUUGUGUUUGAGAACCUGAUGAUAGAACAUAUAUGAUGAGCAUCAAUAACCUCUUUAAUACUGUGAUUAGAAAUUAUUUAAAAUAUUUUCAACGAAACCAAAGGAGAUCUGGAAUUUAACUCCAGCAAAAAUGAUUUAAGAACAUUUUUAGUAAUUUUGAAAUCAACUUGAAUGUUGUGAAUCGACAUGGUACUCAAAAAUGUUCACACCUUCAUUUUAAAUAAUACUUCUGUAUCCUCAGUAUUUUGAAUAAACUAGUUUCAUGAGUGAUGUUUA